AAAGAGAGUGUUUGAUCUAUUUCUCAAAUUCUUCUUCUUCUUCGUCGCCGUUUAUACCAUGGCCCGACAUGCUUGAUUUCUUCUUUUCUUCUUUUUAUCGAUCAAAUUCAAUACUCGAUGGAAGCUUCAUGCCGGAUUUUUGUAUUGUUUGAAUACACUCUCUCUGUCUCUACGACGCCACGCUCUCUCUAGAACUCUCAAUUGAUUCCUCGCCGAAGAAUCAAGGGAAUUGAGAUGCUCUCUCUUGGAUCAUUCAAGACUGGUGCCAUCCUUUUGUUUUUAUUCCCUACGGGCAAUGCUCUAAGACCCUAUUCUAUGCUUGGCCUUGGUGACAUUGUCAUUCCCGGUAUUUUUGUUGCACUUGCUCUAAGAUUUGAUGUGUCAAGACAUAGAAAACCACAAUACUUCACAAGUGCAUAAUGCUACAAAGAUGCUAAAGAUAUAGAAUUUGAGGGUCUUGGUCUACGAAGAGAGGAGUGAAGGUUGCUGCCAAGAAGACGACGAUAUGACCUUGAUUUCUCUUUUUUUCUUCUAAUUUGUAGUAAAUUUUUGAAAAUUUAAUUAUUUCUAUUUUAAAUGGUGAGUCUUUUUUCUUGUCUUCCUCUCUCUUAUAAUGUGGCUUAAGUGUUUGCUGAAAUGCCGAGUUCUAAUGGUGUUUUUCUUGUGUACAUUCUUUAAGGUGGAGUUUUGUCAUGAGCCUAAGUUACAACAAAAGAAGAACACAAAAACCUGCUUGAAUGAGCUACCUCAAGCUUCUCGUCAAGGAGACCAAAAGGCUGGUUCUAAUCUUUUUAUGAUUUUGUUUUUCUGUUUGUUGGCUGAAUUGUUUAUUGAGAUCUGGUCAUUUUUGUGAUAGAUUUGGAAGCUUUACCGUUUUUGGGUGAGCUUGCAGGUAAGCUCAUGGACGUUGGUGAGCUUUCAAGAGAUGGAAGAUGGUGUUAUAUAGUGUUUGAGGUUGCAGGGUAUUACCUAAAAGAUGUCAUCCUUGGAGCAUGAGCUAAUACUCACGUCGAGACAGAUUCAUUAACCAAAUUUGAGUUAGUGGAUUAUGACCCAGUUAGAGGUAUAUGCCCCAUCAUAUGUUUCGGUUGGUUCGGUCUGUUCUGAAUUGAACCGAUUAAGUAGUUAGGUUUAAACUGAUUUUUUUUUUCCCUUUUGAAAUAUUUGGUUUGGUUCACAUAAAAUAUAUGGUAGUCAAAGUGAAACCGAUUUUUUUUA